rnacentral:ncRNA from 1 species
AACAAGUGAAUUUUCGGCGGCGACGCCGUGGAGGAAGCCGGUGCGAAUCCGGCGCGGUCCCGCCACUGUCACCGGGCAGCAAGCCCGGGAGCCAGGAACUCCGGUCGCCGUUCAUCUCUACUA